GCGGAACACGUGUGCAACCUGCCUUUAUCAGAGGGAUAGCCUUUCGAAAGGAAGAUUAAUACCUCAUAAUAUACUGAUUGGCAUCAAUUAGUAUUGAAAGCUCCGGCGGAUAGAGAUGGGCACGCGCAAGAUUAGAUAGUUGGUGAGGUAACGGCUCACCAAGUCAAUGAUCUUUAGGGGGCCUGAGAGGGUGAUCCCCCACACUGGUACUGAGACACGGACCAGACUCCUACGGGAGGCAGCAGUGAGGAAUAUUGGACAAUGGGUGCAAGCCUGAUCCAGCCAUCCCGCGUGAAGGACGACGGCCCUAUGGGUUGUAAACUUCUUUUGUACAGGGAUAAACCUACCCUCGUGAGGGUAGCUGAAGGUACUGUACGAAUAAGCACCGGCUAACUCCGUGCCAGCAGCCGCGGUAAUACGGAGGGUGCAAGCGUUAUCCGGAUUUAUUGGGUUUAAAGGGUCCGCAGGCGGGCUAGUAAGUCAGUGGUGAAAGCCUACAGCUUAACUGUAGAACUGCCGUUGAUACUGCUAGUCUUGAGUAUAGUUGAGGUAGCUGGAAUGAGUAGUGUAGCGGUGAAAUGCAUAGAUAUUACUCAGAACACCGAUUGCGAAGGCAGGUUACCAAGUUAUAACUGACGCUGAGGGACGAAAGCGUGGGGAGCGAACAGGAUUAGAUACCCUGGUAGUCCACGCCGUAAACGAUGCUAACUCGUUUUUGGGCUUUAGGGUUCAGAGACUAAGCGAAAGUGAUAAGUUAGCCACCUGGGGAGUACGACCGCAAGGUUGAAACUCAAAGGAAUUGACGGGGGCCCGCACAAGCGGUGGAUCAUGUGGUUUAAUUCGAUGAUACGCGAGGAACCUUACCAAGGCUUAAAUGGGAAUUGACAGCUGUAGAAAUACGGUUUUCUUCGGACAAUUUUCAAGGUGCUGCAUGGUUGUCGUCAGCUCGUGCCGUGAGGUGUUAGGUUAAGUCCUGCAACGAGCGCAACCCCUGUCACUAGUUGCCAUCAUUAAGUUGGGGACUCUAGUGAGACUGCCUACGCAAGUAGAGAGGAAGGUGGGGAUGACGUCAAAUCAUCACGGCCCUUACGCCUUGGGCCACACACGUGAUACAAUGGCCGGUACAGAGGGCAGCUACACUGCGAAGUGAUGCAAAUCUCGAAAGCCGGUCUCAGUUCGGAUUGGAGUCUGCAACUCGACUCUAUGAAGCUGGAAUCGCUAGUAAUCGCGCAUCAGCCAUGGCGCGGUGAAUAC
rnacentral:rRNA from 1 species